AUGAAACAUGCUGUGCUGGUUUCUGAAAACCAAGAAGCCUGGAGAGAAAUUUAUGACUUUGAAACAAAAUUUAGAGGUUGAAGGAUUUAGCAGUUUACAAAGAACAUGGAGCUAAGCCCUUGAAAAAGGCUGUUCAAAAAGUCCUGGCCUAAAGUGCCAAGAUCGUUUUCAGAAGUCCCCGCAGAAGCUCUUAGGAAUCUGAAAGCAUAAAAAUGGGGAGAGAGUAUUUUGAAGACAUCUUUCCCCUGAAAGCCGGUGCUCGUGAGCCUGUGCAUUUUCCCACACGAAUAUGCUCAGCCGUUAUGUUAGCCAGGCAUUUCCUGCAUGCGGCAGUUCUGGAGGCCGGAAGUCCAGGGUCAAGGUGACAGUGGAUUCAUUUCCUGGUGAGGACCCUCUUCCUGGUUUGUACAUGUGAUUCCUAGAAGUCUCCAUUUUGAUGUUCUCUUGUCCUUUGACCAAGCAUCCAGCACAUCCUCACAACACUCCAAAGCCACUUUGAAGACUCUCUUCAAAGCAGUUCUUACUGUUGAUACCACUACCAUUGUUCCUGACACAUGAAGCAGAAGGACCCAAGGCCAGAGGUCAUGGUGGAGAGAUGAGCAGAUAGUCCUCAAAGGCAGACAGGGCUGGGAUUGGAGAGGAAUUCCCUAAUAGUUGUUAUAAAUGGAGAUAUGACAGGUGUGAACAAACAACCUAGGACUGGAAGAAAGAAGAGGG